UUCUGGAGGUGGACAGUGGAGGGGAGCAGCCUCAGCACUAGGCCUGGCUCUCAGAGGCCAGACCCAGGGCCACUGAGAGCCAGGCCCAGUUCCAGCACACUGAAGCGGGGGAAGCAGAGACGCUCCUGCCCUGGGACUGAGGCCCGCAGAGCAGGACGUGAGCACCAAGAGAAUGCAGAUUUUGUCUCUUUGCUGAUAAACCCUCGGUUCUAGACCACUGCCAGGCACAUAGAUGGCGCUCACCAGUGAUUUAUCAAAUGCACGUGCCACCCAGAGGAGGUAGAGGUGCGGUCCCCGCCCACUGCACACCUGGAUCUCGGUGUUGCCCCCAUCCAGCAGGCGGAUGGCCAGACCAAUGCUCUCCUGGAAGAUCUUCUCAUUCUUGGUGCUGGUGAUGAGGUCACACACUAGCUUGGUGGCCCCCUCCUUGUCCAGCCGGCACUGGGUGGCAGCGAUUGCUGACCAGUCUUGGUCCAGGCCUGGGGUGGGGACUCACUUGAAGGAAAGCUGGUGGGCAGGGAUGGGGGGGGGGCCCAGGACUGGGAGAACAGGCCACCCAGAGACACAGGAGGAGAAGGCAGCACUGACCAGUGCCCAUGGGGUCCGGAAGGUCCCCCCGAGAGCUGGACUUCCGGUUCUGGAGGUAGUUUUGUAGCAGCAUCUUGCGUAGCUGGUUGCCCUGGGGGAGGACGGGAGUGAGGUUGCCCGAGGGUCCUCCCGCACCCCUGCACCCUGGGCCUGGCCUGCCGGUGUCCAGCCCCCCUGGUGUGCCCCAGCCCGGCACUCACCCGGUCCCCAUACUUGCUCUUCUUGAGCAGCAUCUGCUGCAGGGUCCGAAGCACCUUGAUGCACAGCUUCUCCUCGGGCUCCAUGAGGUCCUUCGUGUGCUGGAUCAGCCUGGACCAGUGAGGGCGGCUCAGGGGGCCUCCUUCCCUCCAGCCACCUCCCCAACCAGGGCCCAUCCGGUCCCCACCAGACCCUCCCCUGGCCCAGGCCACCAUGCCACGGUGUCCCAGAGUCCCACUCACUUGGACAGGAAGCCCCCGCUCUCACAGCGCUGAUAGGCCUCGCUGCCCUCCAGGAAGAGCAGCUCCGGCCAGUGUAGGACGUCGACCAGCACAGACAGCUCUGCCUGCACCAGCGGCUUCAGCCUCUCCUCCAGGGCCGUGAUGAUGUCCUGGAAGAGCCAGGCUGAGUCACCGUCGCCCAAGAGAGGGUCAGGGCCUGACCACCACUCCCCCACCCAAACACCAAACAGCCCUGCAGAUGGACCUGCGCCUGUCGGAGGGCCCUGCACCCCCAGAUUCCCUGAGCGCCUGGCUGAGAUCCCCAAGACCCGGCUUAUCUCCUUCUAGUUCUGUGUGGCCUUGCAUCAACUCCUUGCCCUCUCUGAGCCUCAGUCUCCCUCCAUGUGGAAACAAUAGCCCCCCCACCCCACUCCCCGUGCUCCCUCCGAAGACAAUAAGAGAGAACUGUGGACACACAGGAAGGUGCUGUCAAGAGGUGGUCCCGACCCUCCAGGAGCUCUGGCCCCACCCACUCGUCUCUGGGCUCUGCUGACACCUCAGUCCCUGGCCACAGGAUGCGGCCCUUCAUAGAAGGCCAGGCACCCACUCCCACCUGCAGCUUCUCGAUGAUGUUCUUGUAGUCCCACUGGUUGGCGGUGGGGGUGACCCGAGGGAAGGCCCGAGUGGCCGACUUGUAGUUGGAGGCGUUCCGCUGGGCGGCGGCGGCACAGCUGGCUCCGCUGCUGAGCAGGGAGCUGAUGUGGGCGUCCAGGUCCAUGGGCAGCAAGAUGGCCCGGCCCUUAGCUGAGGGAGGGGAGGGGCUGGAGGCCAGGCUCGGGCUGCCAGAGGCUGCCACAUGGUGGGACAGGACAAACCAGACCAAGGUGCGAGGAUCCCGCCCUGGCUCCCACCGGAGUGUCUCUGAUUCUGCCCACUACUGCCUCUUCUCCACCUAUUCCUAACCACAGACUGGCUCCCUCUGCCUGAGAUUGUUUGCACAUGUGCACACACACAACUCGAGUUGGGGAAUGUUACUGCGCUGUUCCUCUGGGGAGCUGACUCAAGGAGAAAACAGCUUCUCUUAAUUGCUGGGAUGCCAGGACAGCCCCGUCCACUGGCGCUAAGAGGCUCACCUGCAGCGAGGUGCUGUUCUCCGAGAACGGGGAGCUGAAGAAGGCGUUGAUGGUAUCCAGCACCACGGUCAGCACGUACUUCUCCAGGGUGGGGUCUGCCAGGCGCUUCUCACGCUUGCUGCAGACCUGGGGGAGGAGAGAGGGAUCCCAGUGGUCCUCACGGGGGUCCCUCCACUCCAUGGUGGGAGGCUGCCCCUGCCCCCUGGCCCCCACACACCCGCGCCAUGUCCAGGGUGAAGCUCUCAAAGAGUGUCCAGAUGUGGUUGCUGGUGUAGAUCUCCUUCAUCUCCACCUCCGUGUCCACGUAGCAGUGGUUCACGAAGUUCACGUAGGCCAUCUUCACCUGGGCAGUGAGCGGGGAGGGGUCAGGAGCGAGCGGGGCCGGGCCCAGGUCCUCCGGCCUGUGCGAUGCCCGCUCCACCCCUGGCCUCGCGGUGGCUGUCUACCUCGCCCCUUCCUCCCCACCUCGGUGAUGCAGUCCUCAUGGGUCACCACGGACACCACGUCCUCCAGCGGCAGCAGGGAGGUGCACUUGAUCUCAGUGUAGACGUUCUUGCCCUCGGCGCAGGCGGCCAGCAAGUCCACCAGGGAGAUGUGGUACAUGAGGGGGCUGUGGUCCUCCACGCCAUCUCGGGCAGCCUUCAUCAUGUCCAGCAGGUGGGCCAGUGAGGCCUUGUCAUUGUAGAACACGACCACGUCGUCGCCUGCAUUCGUCAGCUGUGGGUGGGAGGUGGGUGGGCAUCAGACCCCUCAGUCCAGCAGGCCCUGGCCCUGCCCCGCUCUGCGCUUUCCAGGGAGAGCCGGGGACCCAGACCCAGCAUUUGCCCAGCACCAGGAAAACCCUCCCCUGCCUGCGUUCUGGAAGCUCUGACUGUCAGCUCAGGCCCUCGGUCAUCAGAAACACUCACCAGGACCGGAAAGCCCCCUCCCCACUGUGGGAAAGAUGCCCCACCCACGCUGGUCUCAGAGACCACCCCUCUACUCUCACCCUUGGCUGACCCCUCCCUCCCCUGGGCUCCCACAGCGGGUAAUCAAAACCCUCACAGAGCACACACUGUGUCCCUCUGUGGCAGCAAUUAUGUGAAAUAAUAAUGGCAAUUAGCAGUUAGCACUGCAAACACUUCCAGCCCCCCAGCCUCAUUUCUGACAUCCCUGCUCUUGCUGCGGUGACUCCCUUUUUCCCCCGUCCCACACUGCAAGAUGCUCGAGGGCAGAGACCACGGCUGUCCCAGGUGUAGACUCAGCCCCGCAGGCUGCAUGCCUUCAGUGUUGAGUACCCACUGUGCAUCAAACGCCUGAGUUCUACCAGACCCGCAGCCUUAGUUCUCCCUCCAGCGCCUCCCAACUCUGCAGCCCGCCACCCCAUUUCCCGGCACCUCCCCGCACCCGCCCUCACCUCGGUCAUGAUCAUGUCCUGGCACUUCUUGACGUACUUGCCCUCGGCCUUGAUGACGGUGUGCAGGAAGUCUAGGUACUGCACGUGGCGCCCGUGGGUGGCCAGCAGGUGCACGAAGUGCUGCAGCACGGGCUCGCUGAUCUCGGAGCACAGCUGGGUUGUUUUGAACAUGCCAGAAAAGCUGGAAGAUAUCUAUCUGGAGGGCCAGGAGGGCGGAGGCGGAAGAGCCAACCAGCUGAAGCCUCGGGGCACAGAGGUCUGCAGAGCCCAGAUCCUCAGGGACCCUCUGCCACUCACGCCCUUGACGAUCUGAUAGUUCUCACUGCUCUUCUCCCCUGGUGGAUGCAGAAAGCCCUCCUCGUCUGUGGGCCGCUGGGGACACAGACAGGAUCGGGGUCAGCCAGGCCCGGCUCUCCCUGGCUCCCCGCCCCAGCUUCCCGCCACCAGGCUCACCUCCUUCUUGUCCUUGGCGGUGCCUGCCUCCCCCUCCUCGCCCUUGCCACUGCCUUUCUUGUCCACCCACAGCUCCGAUUUCUCCACCAUCGUCCGCAGCCGAUCCAGCUCUGAUUUGAUCACCUUGUAGUUCUCCACGUCCUGGGCCGAGAUCAGCAGCUGCACCUGAAGGUGGGGGAUGGUCUUGGCUGGUGGAUGGGCACCUCCAGGUCCACCUGGAGAACCCCAGGGCCUUCCCUCGUGUCACCCACCUAGUGAUGCCUCUCCCAGUGCCACCCACCACCACCUGGUCUUCUCCAUCAAGCCAAAUCCUACUCCCGUUUGCCACCCUGCCAAAGCCCACCACCUCCAGGAAGCCUUCUCUGGAGCCAAGGGCACUCUGCCUGCACUGGCACAUCACCUGGCUUCAGCUGCUCUGACUCAUGUCACUAUUACUGUGGCCUAUCAUUAGCUCACCAGACCUUCCACGGGCAGGGCAAAGUGUAUACGUAUCGAUGAUCACUGGCUGAAAGAGGGGGGCCUGCGUCUAACUCCCGCCCCUCUCACUCUGGGCCAGGAGGCCAGGAUGAAAGACUCCCUGAGCCUGGACUUCCACCCCCCUCGAAAAAAGGGAUGACAGUGGUGCCAUACUAUUAGGCUACUGUGAGAAUUCCAGGACAUAAUGAGACGUCAAGUGAGCACUUGUCAACCACCAACCCCACCUGGCACAGGUAUCUCACAGGGAGCUGUCAAGGGGCCGUGACGUCAGUCACAAACACCAGGCACUUGGCUAGGGCUGCCUGCGAGCCAGGCAGGGUUCAGAGCAUCAGCACUGAUGUGCGUAAUAGAGUUGGCACACAAUAGAGUUUGCACACUGUCAAGCGCUGCCCACAGCAUAAGAAGGGGCAGACACUGAGCCAGGCCGGGAGGGACAAAGGUGGCCACAACUCGGUCUUUGUGUUGAAGGAGCUCAGCAAGGCUGGAAACCCAAAUGUGCACCCCAAGUUCCCCUGAGCUGUGAGCUCCUUAAUCACUGAACCCCCAGUUGCCCAGGUCGGCCCAGGGCACAGUUCAGGCAGCACCAGGGGAUCCUCCCUCACCUGCUUGAAGGUGUGCAUGGCCUCCUGUCGCUGGCUGAAGUGCUUGAAGAGCAGCUGGAGGGCUCCCGAGACCAACGGUGCGUAGUCGUGCAUGGUCAGGUGGAUGAGCACACGCAGGAACAUGCGGCCACCCUCGUCGUCCACCUCCAGCAUACUGCUGGUCUUCCUGCGGACACCAGGGUGCCGGGGCGUCAGUGUGCCGGCACACACCUGCCUCCCGAGGGACCCAGGCCUGGCACAAGCACGCUCUCUACCCCCAUUCAGCAGAGGCAGCACCCAGUGUGACAUUUGUUCAAGAUACUGAUGUUUUUCCCACCUGUGUGCAAACAGCCCCGGGCCUGACCCUCGAGGGAUCUGUGUCCCCUGGGCUCCCUCAGGCCCUCCCUGGAUUAAGCAGGGAACCCUUCUAAUGGGACCCACAGACCUCACCACCCCACCUAGGAGGACUUAGAUGGAACAGAAGUGGGAAAAGUGAUUUUUAUCAAUCUCUAACCAAAAUGGAACACUUCCUUCCAUGAGGAAAUACUAGCCGUAUUUCGUGAGUUUGUCACCAAUGAAAAUCAACAGAUGUUUUCACAUCACCUCAGAGUUGUUAACAGAAAUUGUGAAAUAUUGUUUACAUUCACCACUGCUUCGAAGUGACGGCGCUAAUUACACCCACCGGCGCAGCAUGCUAUUUAAUGUGUUAAUAAAGAGGCCCAUAUAUAACUGUCACUUCAA